UGAAUACGAGAUGCUACGGCGUCGAAGCAGUGUAUGUCAGACUUCCAAGAAAAGCUCGCAAUGUCAUAAAUAAAGAAUGCCUGUACCAUAACCGACACAGGUGGGUAGGUAGAGUAUACUAAGGGGCGCGAGAUAACUCUCUCUAAGGAGCUCGGCAAAAUAACUCCGUAACUUCGGGAGAAGGAGUGCCUUCUUUAAGAAGGUUGCAAUAACAAGACCCAAGCAACUGUUUAUCAAAAACACGGUCUCCGCUAAGUCGUAAGACGAUGUAUGGGGGCUGACGCCUGCCCAGUGCCAGAAGGUUAAAGAAGCUGGUUAGCAAUAGCGAAGCUGGUGACUGAAGCCCUGGUGAACGGCGGCCGUAACCAUAACGGUCCUAAGGUAGCGAAAUUCCUUGUCGGGUAAGUUCCGACCCGCACGAAAGGCGUAAUGAUUUGGAUACUGUCUCGGAGAGGGACUCGGUGAAAUAGACUUGUCUGUGAAGAUGCGGACUACCUGCACCAGGACAGAAAGACCCUAUGAAGCUUUACUGUAACCUGAAAUUGAAAUUGGACUUUAUUUGCGCAGUAUAGGUGGGAGGCGUUGAAAGUAAUCUUGCGGGAUUAGUGGAGCCAUCAGUGAGAUACCACUCCUAUAAUGUUAGAUUUCUAACUUUGGAUCAUGAUCUGGUCAAAGAACAGUUUCAGGCGGGCAGUUUGACUGGGGCGGUCGCCUCCCAAAUGGUAACGGAGGCGUACAAAGGUUUCCUCUGAACGGGUAGAAAUCGUAUCUAGAGUAUAAAGGCAUAAGGAAGCUUGACUGUGAGACCUACAAGUCGAGCAGGGACGAAAGUCGGUCUUACUGAUCUGACGGUGCUGAGUGGAAAGGCCGUCACUCAACGGAUAAAAGUUACUCUAGGAUAACAGGCUGAUCUCCCCCAAGAGUUCACAUCGACGGGGAGGUUUGGCACCUCGAUGUCGGCUCAUCGCAUCCUGGGGCGGUAGUACGUCCCAAGGGUUGGGCUGUUCGCCCAUGAAAGCGGUACGCGAGCUGGGUUCAGAACGUCGUGAGACAGUUCGGUCCAUAUCCGGUGUAGGCGUUAGAAUAUUGAGAGGAGCCUUCUCUAGUACGAGAGGACCGAGAAGGACAUACCUCUGGUGUACCAGUUAUCGUGCCAACGGUAAACGCUGGGUAGCUAUGUAUGGAGAGGAUAACCGCUGAAAGCAUCUAAGUGGGAAGCCCACCUCAAGAUGAGUAUUCUCA
rnacentral:rRNA from 1 species